GCAAUAACAGGUCUGUGAUGCCCGUAGAUGUCCUGGGCCGCACGCGCGUUACACUGACAGAGCCAGCGAGUUUUUCCUUGACCGGAAGGUCCGGGUAAUCUUGUGAAACUCCGUCGUGAUGGGGAUAGAGCAUUGCAAUUGUUGCUCUUCAACGAGGAAUCCCUAGUAAGCGCAAGUCAUCAGCUUGCGUUGAUUACGUCCCUGCCCUUUGUACACAC
rnacentral:rRNA from 15 species